rnacentral:tRNA from 1 species
GCGGAGAUAGCUCAGUUAGUCAGAGCGCAGUUUUUCCAAGAUUGAGGUCGUAGGUGCGAACCCUGCUCUCCGCUCA